GUCGUUAGCUCAGUUGGUAGAGCAGUUGGCUUUUAACCAAUUGGUCGUAGGUUCGAAUCCUACACGAC
rnacentral:tRNA from 2 species